UGACGGGGCAGGGAGCGGUGGUGGUGUUGCGAAAGAGCCGCUGCCGGUGAGCGACCUCUUCCUCCGAGACAAGCAGUUUAUUUACAUCCAGUGGCUGCUCCGGUGAAUAUGUAUAAUAAUCUGUAUGGAUAUAUGUGAUUUUGUGCGUCUGUAGUGGGCAGUGGGCCAUUUAAGUAAUGUUUACUAAUGUGCCUCUUUAGUUUUCCUUCUGUUUGAUGUUUACAUAAUGUUGUCGUGCUUCACUUGUUAAAUGUACAAAAUGUCUUUCCAUAUGAGAGGCCACUAAAAUUACGCAUGACCGUGAUUUGAUUAUCAUGAUGUAGUGCGCAGUUUCCAGCGCUCUUUCCCAACGUUACCCGGAAAUAAGCAAAGCAUUUUUUCCCCCUGCCUUAUAAAACAUGCCUGUGCGGAUUUGAGGCUCAUUUUCCUCGGAGACAGCGAGAGGGCAGAAGAGUUGGAUGGGAUGGAGAGGUGUGCUGGAUGUUUGCUGCAGGAGGAUGUUGCGCACUUCAAUUUACCUCAGGAGUGAGUGGUCUGUGUAUCCAUGCGGUACUGCGUAAUGGUUUGAUUUAUGAGGUAGAUGUUGUUAUUGACCAUGUCAAAAUGAAUGUUUAGUUUGUUUUCAGCUGAGCAGGCUUUAAUCUGUUUCAUUUAGCCUGUAAAGUCCAAUGUAUGAGCAGAAGGAUUUAGUAAGUUUAAACUUAAGUAAAGGAGAAGAAGAAGGUAAAUAUAUUAAUACUGUAUAAAAAAAUACUUAAAAACUAGUAUACUAUCAAGAAAUUUAAUUCAUAUAGGAAAAAGUACUCUUUCAGGGGAUUUUUCAGAUAUUCUGCUGACUUUUAAUUUUGCCACUAUUGCACCUGUCAGAGUGCGUCAUGCUGUGUUUAUAGUGCUGUUUCCAUCUGAACAGAUUGUUUUUCAACCGUGAAAUGUGUAAUGAAAAGAAAAAUUAGCCAUUUAAUGUGUAUGAAGUUGAAAUUAUGUAAGAUUGUUUCUUCGAUUGUUCUUUUACAGAAAUAGAUCUGUCACUUAGUUGAUUUUUCAAUGCGCAUUGUGCGUAAAGGCUCUUUUUUUCCCCUGUUUUUAAAUCUAUAGUGCGUGUGCCUGUUGUGCCAGCGCCUUGACUCAGCUCCAUCCAUCCAGAGGUUUCUAUGUCAUACGCACUUUUUAUUCCUGAUGUAAACAAACCCUUAGAAAGCAAUACCCCAAUUUAACACAGGAUGGCGCAUUUGUGCAAGCUUAGAGAACAGUUUGUACCAAAGCAAGAAAGUUAUCCAAAACAGUGUUCUGGGAAUGAGUGAGAGACCUUAAUGGGAAGUAUUGAUGCAGCACUACAAAGUGAGAGUGGAACAGCAGCUUACACAUCUAAAUGAAAAGCCAUUGACUGUAUAUUUUUGUUCAUCUUGUACCUAAUAAUUCUGUUGACAGAACAACUGGUACAUCCAUCUGUUGUGCUUCGGAAAUGAAAUGCCAGAACAUCUCUCGACGUCAGAAACCUCAAAAUAACUGCAGUCCUUUGACCAGUUGAUUUGCUAACUACUUAAGAGGCACAGUAAGGGAAAACAUUCGGCGUUAACCUUAGAAAUUAAAACCGAUUGCCGUCUGAGUUGAUAUUGCUAUUCCUCUUUUCACAGAGAGAAAAUAGGCCUUGCUUUCAACUUUCCAUGAAAGUGCCGCCGUCUCAUUAACAUUAGAAAUGAAGAAUCAUCUGAUCAAGGGCAGAGCUGUGGUAGGCAGCCCUGAAAGACGAAGUGCAAGUGGUAGGUCUAUUCACAGAGUUGAAGUGUCAGA